rnacentral:rRNA from 1 species
AACGAACGCUGGCGGCAUGCCUAACACAUGCAAGUCGAACGAGACCUUCGGGUCUAGUGGCGCACGGGUGCGUAACGCGUGGGAAUCUACCCUCGGGUUCGGAAUAACUCAGAGAAAUUUGAGCUAAUACCGGAUGAUGACGUAAGUCCAAAGAUUUAUCGCCUGAGGAUGAGCCCGCGUAGGAUUAGGUAGUUGGUGAGGUAAAGGCUCACCAAGCCGACGAUCCUUAGCUGGUCUGAGAGGAUGAUCAGCCACACUGGGACUGAGACACGGCCCAGACUCCUACGGGAGGCAGCAGUGGGGAAUAUUGGACAAUGGGCGAAAGCCGGAUCCAGCAAUGCCGCGUGAGUGAUGAAGGCCUUAGGGUUGUAAAGCUCUUUUACCCGGGAUGAUAAUGACAGUACCGGGAGAAUAAGCGCCGGCUAACUCCGUG